GGAAAUAAACGGAUCUUGAAAUAACUGCAGUGAGAGCCUCAAAUCCUAGUUGCUACUACCACAGGCUUGUUCGCAGUGCUGAGGAGGUGGUGGUGGAGAUGGCGGGGAAGAAAGUCUGAAUGAGGAAGGAAAGUGAGAAUUUUUGUGUGCAUGUGUGGGAUUGGGGGAGGGGGGAACGCAGGACGUGUAAAUGAGGAGGAAAGUGAUUUUAUGUGCGUUGUUUUUUUUUUUUGUUUUUUUUUUUAAAUUCCAUGUGCAUUGACACAUGGCUGUUCGCCGCACCACGUCAUUUUGCAGUCACCGGAAUAUAUUUGCGGGUCACAAAUAAGAAAAAAAUAGAACGAUGGGUAUUAUUUUGUAAUUAUCCUUAGGGUGAGAUAUUUUUGAGAAAACGCUCAAACGAUGGGUCAAAAAGUGAUAUUUACC
rnacentral:lncRNA from 1 species